AACGAACGCUGGCGGCGUGCCUAACACAUGCAAGUCGAACGAAAAGUCCGGGUCUAGUGGCGCACGGGUGCGUAACGCGUGGGAACCUGCCCUUAGGUUCGGAAUAACUACCAGAAAGGGGUGAUAAUACCGGAUAAUGUCUACGGACCAAAGAUUUAUCGCCUUUGGAUGGGCCAGCGUUGGAUUAGCUAGUUGGUAGGGUAAAAGCCUACCAAGGCGACGAUUCAUAGCUGGUUUGAGAGGAUGAUCAGCCACACUGGGACUGAGACACGGCCCAGACUCCUACGGGAGGCAGCAGUGGGUAAUAUUGGACAAUGGGCGAAGUCCUGAUCCAGCAAUGCCGCGUGAGUGAUGAAGGCCUUAGGGUUGUAAAGCUCAUUUACCCGGGAUGAUAAUGACAGUACCGGGAGAAUAAGCUCCGGCUAACUCCGUG
rnacentral:rRNA from 1 species